UUCAGCAGUCUGGGGAGCUCGGCAGUCUCUUUCUUGUUCCCUUGGCCUCGUACUUCAGAAACUGUCCGACAGGGUACCCAAGCCUGGUGCUGGAUGCAGACAGAAUGGAAAACACAGAAGCUGUGAAGGCCAAGGCACGCACGGGCUACUGCAGGACUGUAGGUCGCCUGCCAUGGCUGGUUUCCAGGUAGAGCCGCCCCGAUGAGAUCCCUGAACACUGUUUCCUUUCCUGGCAUUACCACGGAAGAUACACAUUUCCUCCUACUCUCUGGCUUCAGUGUGUCAUGUUCAAAAUGACUCUGUUCCACAGAGCCCGGAGCGGCCUCCCUGCAUGCUGAGAUUGUCUACACCAAGGAAAGUCCCUGUCUAGCAUCAUUUCUGCCCCUUUCACUUUCUAGCAGCUCUGGGUGGUCAACUCAAGGGCACCCAAUGGAGGGAGGACCCAGAUACCUUCUCUCUAGUCACCCAGAAGCCAUCUCUACAACUUUCUUUUGUUGACUGGACAGAUUCAUACAAGGUCCGAGGAAUACUCAACAGAGGGCAACAAUUAUCCUAAGUCCUCAUUUAUCUAAUGUUCUAGGAAACCAGCUUCAUUCCCGGGACAAUAAACUUACUUUGCCAAU
rnacentral:lncRNA from 1 species